UACGUAGGGGGCAAGCGUUGUCCGGAUUUAUUGGGCGUAAAGGGCGUGUAGGCGGCCUGGUAAGUCGGGGGUGAAAACUCAGGGCUCAACCCUGAGACUGCCUUCGAUACUGCUGGGCUUGAGUGCUCUAGAGGGUAGUGGAAUUGCCGGUGUAGCAGUGAAAUGCGUAGAGAUCGGCAGGAACACCAGUGGCGAAGGCGACUGCCUGGGGAGUAACUGACGCUGAGGCGCGAAAGCUGGGGGAGCAAACGGG
rnacentral:rRNA from 1 species